UCACUAAACACCAGCCAAUAGGAGCAGGAGACGAGGAGACGCGGGAACCAAUGGAAGGCGAGGAGGUGGAGCGCUUGAACCAAUCAGCGGGCGAGUCAGAGCAGGGCGCCCCAGACACACAAAGCAGCUGGGAGGAGCGGACUGGGAGUGAGUUUUCGUUAUAAAUACGCAAAAAUUUCCCGAAAUACAGCGAAUUGGAGGGAAUCACGCAGAGGAGAGAUGGAGGAAGGUUCUGGCUACCCUUUGAGGUGGAGAGAAGAGAGACAGGCACGAGAAAGAAGAUGACAAUGAAGACAAAGAAGAAAAUAAAUGAGGAGAUGACAAGAAAAAAACAAAACAAAAGAAGAAAAAAACAAGAAAAGAAAAGAAGACUAAGAAGAUGUAGAAGAACAAAAAAUAAAGAAACAGAAGACGACAACUAAGAAGAAACGAAAACACGACCUAAACAGUAACAUUUCUUAACGUAAACAUGAGUAAGUGAUGAGUAAGAUGAGUCAGGUGAUGAGUAAGCAGUAAAAUAAGUAAGAGCAGUUGAAAUUGCAUGAGUAAUGAGUCAGAUGGUAAGAUGAGUGAAGCACUAACUGGAUGAAUGAGUAAAA